rnacentral:rRNA from 1 species
GGAGUUAGCCGGUGCUUCUUCUGCGAGUAACGUCACAGAUGUAAGGUAUUAACUUACACCCUUUCCUCCUCGCUGAAAGUGCUUUACAACCCGAAGGCCUUCUUCACACACGCGGCAUGGCUGCAUCAGGGUUUCCCCCAUUGUGCAAUAUUCCCCACUGCUGCCUCCCGUAGGAGUCUGGGCCGUGUCUCAGUCCCAGUGUGGCUGAUCAUCCUCUCAGACCAGCUAGGGAUCGUCGCCUAGGUGAGCCUUUACCUCACCUACUAGCUAAUCCCACCUGGGCUUAUCCAUCAGCGCAAGGCCCGAAGGUCCCCUGCUUUCCCCCGUAGGGCGUAUGCGGUAUUAGCAGUCGUUUCCAACUGUUAUCCCCCACAAAUGGGCAAAUUCCCAGGCAUUACUCACCCGUCCGCCGCUCGUCAUCUUCAAAAGCAAGCUUUUGAAAUGUUACCGCUCGACUUGCAUGUGUUAGGCCUGCCGCCAGCGUUCAUCUGAGCACUAACUACAACUACUGA